rnacentral:rRNA from 1 species
AUUGAACGCUGGCGGAAUGCUUUACACAUGCAAGUCGAACGGCAGCACGGACUUCGGUCUGGUGGCGAGUGGCGAACGGGUGAGUAAUGUAUCGGAACGUGCCCAGUCGGGGGGGAUAACGUAGUGAAAAUUACGCUAAUACCGCAUACGAUCUAUGGAUGACAGCGGGGGAUCGCAAGAACUCGCGCGAGUGGAGCGGCCGAUAUCAGAUUAGGUAGUUGGUGGGGUAAAGGGCCACCAAGCCAACGAUCUGUAGCUGGACUGAGAGGACGACCAGCCAGACUGGAAGAGAGACACGGUCCAGACUCCUACGGGAGGCAGCAGUGGGGAAUUUUGGACAAUGGGAGAAAGCCUGAUCCAGCCAUUCCGCGUGCAGGAUGAAGGCCCUCGGGUUGUAAACUGCUUUUGUACAGAACGAAAAGGUUUCUACUAAUACUAGGAGCUCAUGACGGUACUGUAAGAAUAAGCACCGGCUAACUACGUGCCAGCCGCCGCCGUAA